AUUGAACGCUGGCGGCAGGCCUAACACAUGCAAGUCGAACGAGUGGCGGACGGGUGAGUAAUGUCUGGGAAACUGCCUGAUGGAGGGGGAUAACUACUGGAAACGGUAGCUAAUACCGCAUACUAUCGGAUGUGCCCAGAUGGGAUUAGCUAGUCGGUGGGGUAAAGGCUCACCUAGGCGACGAUCCCUAGCUGGUCUGAGAGGAUGACCAGCCAAACUGGGACUGAGACACGGCACAGACUCCUACGGGAGGCAGCAGGUGGGAAUAUUGCACAAUGGGCGCAAGCCUGAUGCAGCCAUGCCGCGUGUAUGAAGAAGGCCUUCGGGUUGUAAAGUACUUUCAGCGGGGAGGCGUUACCCGCAGAAGAAGCACCGGCUAACUCCGUGCCAGCCGCCGCGGUAAUUC
rnacentral:rRNA from 1 species